rnacentral:misc_RNA from 1 species
UUUGCAAGAUGAAGAUGGAUCUUUCUGGGCUGGUUCUCAUGAAGAACUGGAUAAAGCACCUGAUUUGGAUAGGGAGUGGGAGAGGAGACGCGACCAGUUUCACACGAUUGGAUAUCGUGAUGGCCUCAUAGCCGGAAAAGAAGCUAUUGUUCAAGAUGGAUUUAAUAUUGGUUUUAAGGAGUCAGUGCUUGAAGGAUACAAUUGGGGUAUUGUUAGAGGUAUUACCAGUGCACUUGCAUGCCUUCCAGAAGGGUUCAAAGAAAGUUUGAUUGAAACACAAGAAAAGAUAAAUAAUUUCCAGACCUUGUAUGAAUCUGUGCAUUCUCUUUCAACAACAGAUGCACUCAAAUUAAUUUACUGAUAAAUGCGAUUCAAUUGCAGGAGAUUUCAGAAGAAGUGACUGAAGC